rnacentral:rRNA from 1 species
CAGUCGCCGCGGGAAUACGUAGGUGACAAGCGUUGUCCGGAUUUAUUGGGCGUAAAGCGCGCGCAGGUGGUUUAAUAAGUCUGAUGUGAAAGCCCACGGCUCAACCGUGGAGGGUCAUUGGAAACUGUUAAACUUGAGUGCAGGAGAGAAAAGUGGAAUUCCUAGUGUAGCGGUGAAAUGCGUAGAGAUUAGGAGGAACACCAGUGGCGAAGGCGGCUUUUUGGCCUGUAACUGACACUGAGGCGCGAAAGCGUGGGGAGCAAACAGGAUUAGAUACCCCCGUAGUCCCUGUCUCUUAUAC